rnacentral:lncRNA from 1 species
AUGACAUCCUGGACGACGACGGCCACAGCCUCAAGGGUGGAACAGACGAACCCAAGGCCCUGUUCCGUGUCUUCCAGAGGCGAGAGAGAACGCUCCAGAGUGAGCGCCCCGUCAGGGCUGACGCAGCUGGGCGGCCCCAGCCCCCAGGACGCCGAGGACGCCGGGGCGGCUCUGGCUUGUGUCAGCCAAGCCCAGCAGCCGGGGGAGGCAGCAGCUGGGCGUCCAGGUGUGUGCGGCUGCCUCCCCUCUCCCAGCCACAGCCUCUGCACCUGCACCAAAGAGGACAACAGGUCCUCCUCGUGGUGUCGCGUCAGCACUCGCGCGAUGGUGCGGCGGCAACGGCGAGCGGGGGGAGGCGGCGCAUGGCCCGAGGCCCCCAGCAAGGGCCGGGCCCACCCAGGACAGGGAGUGGGGCUUUCAGUGGCCACUCUGUGGAUCCUCUGUCCCCAAAUGCAGGGCUUUUGGAGGGGAGUGUUGAGAACUCGGGGUCCUAUCAGGGGACCCGGGGCCAUGACCCACCCUCUGCUCUGACUCUCCAGGGAGGCCCUGCACGCGGGCGGUGGCAAGAGACGGCGCAGCCUCGGUCGGCAGCGUGGGGACCCGGGGCCAGGACCCCCAGCCCUUAGCGAGGUCAUCUCACACCCCGGGGGCGUCCAGGCCUCCUGCACCCCCCCAUGGGGUUCUCAGGAAGAGGAGGAGGGGCUUGAGUUCUGAGCCAUUUCAGAAACGACAGACGGGCAGAGAAGCCGCAACGCUUGCUCUCAGGGCCCAGCUGGAGUCUGCAGCUUCCAUCCGAGUUGAGGAGGCUCUGGACCACCGAGGCCACCACCCCCUGCCCCACUUCCCAUCCGGCUCCCUGCUAUGGCCUAGGAUGCAUCAGAGGACGGCCCAAGGGCUUGGGCCCCUGCACCCACGUUGGAGACCUGGAAGAAGCUCCUGGCUCCUGGCUUCGGCCAAGUGCAGAACUUGGGGCAUGAACUAUCAGAGGGAAGGUGCUCUCCCUCUCCCUCUCCCUCUCCCUCUCCCUCUCCCUCCCCCUCUCCCUCUCCCUCUCCCUCUCCCUCCCCCUCUCCCUC